UACGUAGGGUGCGAGCGUUGUCCGGCAUUAUUGGGCGUAAAGAGCUCGUAGGCGGUUUGUCGCGUCGAAUGUGAAAACCCGGGGCUCAACCCCGGGCCUGCAUUCGAUACGGGCAGACUAGAGUUCGGUAGGGGAGUCUGGAAUUCCUGGUGUAGCGGUGAAAUGCGCAGAUAUCAGGAGGAACACCGGUGGCGAAGGCGGGACUCUGGGCCGAUACUGACGCUGAGGAGCGAAAGCGUGGGGAGCAAACAGG
rnacentral:rRNA from 1 species